UACGUAGGGUGCGAGCGUUGUCCGGAAUUACUGGGCGUAAAGAGCUCGUAGGUGGUUUGUCGCGUUGUUCGUGAAAACCGGGGGCUUAACCCUCGGCGUGCGGGCGAUACGGGCAGACUUGAGUACUGCAGGGGAGACUGGAAUUCCUGGUGUAGCGGUGGAAUGCGCUGAUAUCAGGAGGAACACCGGUGGCGAAGGCGGGUCUCUGGGCAGUAACUGACGCUGAGGAGCGAAAGCGUGGGGAGCGAACAGG
rnacentral:rRNA from 1 species